rnacentral:rRNA from 1 species
UUAAGCGACUAAGCGUACACGGUGGAUGCCCUGGCAGUCAGAGGCGAUGAAGGACGUGCUAAUCUGCGAUAAGCGUCGGUAAGGUGAUAUGAACCGUUAUAACCGGCGAUUUCCGAAUGGGGAAACCCAGUGUGUUUCGACACACUAUCAUUAACUGAAUCCAUAGGUUAAUGAGGCGAACCGGGGGAACUGAAACAUCUAAGUACCCCGAGGAAAAGAAAUCAACCGAGAUUCCCCCAGUAGCGGCGAGCGAACGGGGAGCAGCCCAGAGCCUGAAUCAGUGUGUGUGUUAGUGGAAGCGUCUGGAAAGGCGCGCGAUACAGGGUGACAGCCCCGUACACAAAAAUGCACAUGCUGUGAGCUCGAUGAGUAGGGCGGGACACGUGGUAUCCUGUCUGAAUAUGGGGGGACCAUCCUCCAAGGCUAAAUACUCCUGACUGACCGAUAGUGAACCAGUACCGUGAGGGAAAGGCGAAAAGAACCCCGGCGAGGGGAGUGAAAAAGAACCUGAAACCGUGUACGUACAAGCAGUGGGAGCACGCUUAGGCGUGUGACUGCGUACCUUUUGUAUAAUGGGUCAGCGACUUAUAUUCUGUAGCAAGGUUAACCGAAUAGGGGAGCCGAAGGGAAACCGAGUCUUAACUGGGCGUUAAGUUGCAGGGUAUAGACCCGAAACCCGGUGAUCUAGCCAUGGGCAGGUUGAAGGUUGGGUAACACUAACUGGAGGACCGAACCGACUAAUGUUGAAAAAUUAGCGGAUGACUUGUGGCUGGGGGUGAAAGGCCAAUCAAACCGGGAGAUAGCUGGUUCUCCCCGAAAGCUAUUUAGGUAGCGCCUCGUGAAUUCAUCUCCGGGGGUAGAGCACUGUUUCGGCAAGGGGGUCAUCCCGACUUACCAACCCGAUGCAAACUGCGAAUACCGGAGAAUGUUAUCACGGGAGACACACGGCGGGUGCUAACGUCCGUCGUGAAGAGGGAAACAACCCAGACCGCCAGCUAAGGUCCCAAAGUCAUGGUUAAGUGGGAAACGAUGUGGGAAGGCCCAGACAGCCAGGAUGUUGGCUUAGAAGCAGCCAUCAUUUAAAGAAAGCGUAAUAGCUCACUGGUCGAGUCGGCCUGCGCGGAAGAUGUAACGGGGCUAAACCAUGCACCGAAGCUGCGGCAGCGACGCUGAUGCGUUGUUGGGUAGGGGAGCGUUCUGUAAGCCUGCGAAGGUGUGCUGUGAGGCACGCUGGAGGUAUCAGAAGUGCGAAUGCUGACAUAAGUAACGAUAAAGCGGGUGAAAAGCCCGCUCGCCGGAAGACCAAGGGUUCCUGUCCAACGUUAAUCGGGGCAGGGUGAGUCGACCCCUAAGGCGAGGCCGAAAGGCGUAGUCGAUGGGAAACAGGUUAAUAUUCCUGUACUUGGUGUUACUGCGAAGGGGGGACGGAGAAGGCUAUGUUGGCCGGGCGACGGUUGUCCCGGUUUAAGCGUGUAGGCUGGUUUUCCAGGCAAAUCCGGAAAAUCAAGGCUGAGGCGUGAUGACGAGGCACUACGGUGCUGAAGCAACAAAUGCCCUGCUUCCAGGAAAAGCCUCUAAGCAUCAGGUAACAUCAAAUCGUACCCCAAACCGACACAGGUGGUCAGGUAGAGAAUACCAAGGCGCUUGAGAGAACUCGGGUGAAGGAACUAGGCAAAAUGGUGCCGUAACUUCGGGAGAAGGCACGCUGAUAUGUAGGUGAAGUCCCUCGCGGAUGGAGCUGAAAUCAGUCGAAGAUACCAGCUGGCUGCAACUGUUUAUUAAAAACACAGCACUGUGCAAACACGAAAGUGGACGUAUACGGUGUGACGCCUGCCCGGUGCCGGAAGGUUAAUUGAUGGGGUUAGCGCAAGCGAAGCUCUUGAUCGAAGCCCCGGUAAACGGCGGCCGUAACUAUAACGGUCCUAAGGUAGCGAAAUUCCUUGUCGGGUAAGUUCCGACCUGCACGAAUGGCGUAAUGAUGGCCAGGCUGUCUCCACCCGAGACUCAGUGAAAUUGAACUCGCUGUGAAGAUGCAGUGUACCCGCGGCAAGACGGAAAGACCCCGUGAACCUUUACUAUAGCUUGACACUGAACAUUGAGCCUUGAUGUGUAGGAUAGGUGGGAGGCUUUGAAGUGUGGACGCCAGUCUGCAUGGAGCCGACCUUGAAAUACCACCCUUUAAUGUUUGAUGUUCUAACGU